rnacentral:lncRNA from 1 species
AUGACCAACCUGUGUCUGCGUAUGACCAACCUGUGUCUGCGUAUGACCAACCUUUGUCUGCGUAUGACCAACCUUUGUCUGCGUAUGACCAACCUGUGUCUGCGUCUGCGUAUGACCAACCUUUGUCUGCGUAUGACCAACCUGUGUCUGCGUCUGCGUAUGACCAACCUGUGUCUGCGACUGCGUAUGACCAACAUGUGUCUGCGUAUGACCAACCUGUGUCUGCGUAUGACCAACCUGUGUCUGUGUCUGCGUAUGACCAACCUGUGUCUGCGUCUGCGUAUGACCAACCUGUGUCUGCGUAUGACCAACCUGUGUCUGUGUCUGCGUAUGACCAACCUGUGUCUGCGUCUGCGUAUGACCAACCUGUGUCUGCGUAUGACCAACCUGUGUCUGCGUAUGACCAACCUGUGUCUGUGUCUGAGCAACGUGUGUCUGUGUCUGCGUAUGACCAACCUGUGUCUGCGUCUGCGUAUGACCAACCUGUGUCUGCGUCUGCGUAUGACCAACUUGUGUCUGCGUAUGGCCAACCUGCGUCUGCGUAUGACCAACUUGUGUCUGCGUCUGCGUAUGACCAACCUGCGUCUGCGUAUGACCAACCUGUGUCUGCGUAUGACCAACCUGUGUCUGCGUCUGCGUAUGACCAACCUGUGUCUGCGUAUGACCAACCUGUGUCUGCGUAUGACCAACCUUUGUCUGCGUAUGACCAACCUGUGUCUGCGUCUGCGUAUGACCAACCUGUGUCUGCGUAUGACCAACCUGUGUCUGCGUCUGCGUAUGACCAACAUGUGUCUGCGUAUGACCAACCUGUGUCUGCGUCUGCGUAUGACCAACUUGUGUCUGCGUGCGUCUGCGUAUGACCAACCUGUGUCUGCGUAUGACCAACCUGUGUCUGCGUCUGCGUAUGACCAACAUGUGUCUGCGUAUGACCAACCUGUGUCUGCGUCUGCGUAUGACCAACUUGUGUCUGCGUCUGCGUAUGACCAACCUGUGUCUGUGUAUGAGCCGAACGCUCUCGGGGCUCAUGUGGCUGUGGUUGGAGAGGACGCCUCUGGGAGAGUUGACCGUUGUGCAGCCGGCAGGAGCGAACCGAUCCACGCCAGGAACCCCCUGUUGGGACACAUGGACAGAACCAAACCUCUGCAUAAUUACACUGCUCAUUAG